GCCUCUGUAGCUCAGUUGGUUAGAGCGCUGCACCGGAAUCGCUGGGCCGUAGCUUCAAUUCCUACCAGAGGAA
rnacentral:tRNA from 1 species